AAGGCUUCUCAGCCUUUUGGCUAAGGUCAAGUGUAGUAUCUGUUCUUCUCAGUUUAAUAUCUGCCACGUCCCCUAUCUGGGAACCAUAUAUUAAAUUUAUUUUUGGAACAAGGAGAUGGAAAAGGGGCUUGCUCAAAAAUAAAUAAAUAAGUACACAUAAAAAUAGUUAGAUAAGUAAAUCCAU
ensembl:snRNA U2 U2 spliceosomal RNA